CCCGGCGACCGGCGCACGGGUGAGUAACACGUAUGCAACCUGGCCGUGACAGAUGGAUAACCGGGAGAAAUCCCGCCUAAUACAGCAUGACGCCGCGGGAGGACAUCCUCCCGCGGCCAAAGGGGCGACCCGGUCACGGAUGGGCAUGCGGCGCAUUAGGUAGUUGGUGGGGCAACGGCCCACCAAGCCGACGAUGCGUAGGGGUUCUGAGAGGAAGGUCCCCCACAUUGGAACUGAGACACGGUCCAAACUCCUACGGGAGGCAGCAG
rnacentral:rRNA from 1 species